AGUUAAUUACCUUAAAUUAAAAUUUAUAUUUUGAAAAUAUAAGAUAGAAUCUUCUUCUAUUAACUU
rnacentral:tRNA from 1 species